AAAGAUUUUAUUUAUUCAUAAGAGACAGAGAGAGAGAGGCAGAGGGAGAAGCAGGCUCCCCGCUGAGCAGGGAGCCCGAUGUGGGACUUGAUCCCAGGACCCUGGGAUCAUGACCUGAGCCGAAGGCAGACGCUUAACCAUCUGAGCCAUCCAGGCGCCCAACCCCUCAGUAAUUCUUUCAGCAACUGAUGUGUGAUUAUCUGAGCAGAGGAAACUUCCAGGAAAGCUGCAAGCCCGAAUGAGUCAGCUGUCAUCACGGCCAUUACCUGAUGCGGAAAGGGGAUGGGCUCGGGAAGCUGACGUCGGUGAAAGAGCAGAGACGCACAGGAAACCUCCUGACUUGUAAGGUAUCCAUGUGGUAGAAAGCAAGCACACAAAAGUCCGCUGCUCAUUUGUGUACUUCUUCGUUCUGUGGAUUCUCAGGGCACUCUGCCCUGAUUUUCCUGUCUGCUGAUGGUGCCUCCAAGCCAGCCUCCACUCUGCCCAGAUGUGGACUUCCUACCUGCAUUCUCUCAAGAUUCUCUGUGUACAUCAAGAAUUUAUAAAAGGUUUAACAGGAAAUGUAAAAAGAAAGAAGACCAGGAUGCUAAGAUAAACAUCACUGGAGGUGUUCAUAGGAUAGACAACUGAGAAGGUAUGUCAUCGAUGUAGACAAAAUGAGACAAAUGGUUGGAAUAACGACCACUAAAUUCCCUUCCAACUCAGAUGUAUAAUUCUAGACUCAGAAGAUAAACUCACAGGUGGUAUCAAAUAAAAAGGCUUUGGCUCUGGAGUCAUACCCAGGUUUGAAUCCCAAUUCUAUCACUUUUAUAAUAUAACUUCACACAAAUUACUUAUCCUCUCCAAAGGAUAAUAAUAGGACCAGACAAGAGUAUUCAGUGAGAUAAUGCAUUAGUGUCUGGCACAUAUUAAACAUUUAAUAUAUAA